rnacentral:lncRNA from 1 species
AGAAAAUAGAUUUUCUUGACUCUGGGACUAAAUGGAGCGAACACCUGGUCCAGAUUUGCUCGGAACCUUCUUCUCUAAGCAACUAAUUCUUGGUGGAAACUAUUCUCAUACCAGGAUGUGUUCCGAGGAGGGAUUUCCGUCGCCACUGAAGCACAGAGAGACCUGGUGCCCAAAGAAGAAUGAAGGGAAGCGAGAGCCUGCGUGUGUCUCACGGUCAACAGCGAGG